rnacentral:rRNA from 1 species
UACAGAGGGGGCAAGCGUUGUUCGGAAUUACUGGGCGUAAAGGGCGCGUAGGCGGCCCGCUAAGUCGAACGUGAAAUCCCCAGGCUUAACCUGGGAACUGCGUCCGAUACUGGCAGGCUUGAAUCCGGGAGAGGGAUGUGGAAUUCCAGGUGUAGCGGUGAAAUGCGUAGAUAUCUGGAGGAACACCGGUGGCGAAGGCGGCAUCCUGGACCGGCAUUGACGCUGAUGAGCGAAAGCUAGGGGAGCAAACGGG